AUGCUUGUGUCUUUAAAUGCUUUUUUUCCCAACCACUCAAUCAAACCAACAGGCAGAAUCAAGAACUCACAGAGAUUGAAGUCUUUAUUUAAGCAAUCCACGUGUGUCUGUUAUGUAAGUGUGUGUUACCUGCAGGAUGCUGCACCUGUCAGAGUGGCACUCCAGGUCUUGGCAGGGCUGGAACAUGCCGAGCGUGACGCAGUUGAGCAGAAUCACCAGCAUGCUGACUCGCUCAAACCACGGGCUGCACACAAGUGCAAGGCACCAGCUGCGGGGUCGUGUGCUCUGGUGGAGCCAGAAGAACACCACUGGUGCAAGGGACGGGUAUGGAAGCUGCACAUUCUCCUUCACCUCUGCCACGCUGCCAGUGGACUCCCAAGAUGCUCCGCCACUUCCAGUAAGGCCACCGGGCAUGUCCUCUGCCUCCUCGAGGCAUGUGCCAUCAGCCGGUGCAGUCAGGCUGGUAUGGGCCUGAUCCGGCCACAGGGAUGGUUCUGUGUCCCCACCAGUGGUCAUGAUGAUAGAAUGAUGGGCAGCAAUGCGACCCUGCUGAUAGGAACGUCACUCACAUACCAGUCCUCCAUCCUAAGAAUAUUUGCUUAAGCACAUUAUGCAUUCAGCUUUCUCUGCAUAGGAAUAGGGUUAGUCCAUCUAAAAAAUAAUUUACUCGCCCUCGUGUCCUUUCAAAUCCACUUGACUUUGUGCUCCAUGGAAGGGUUAGUUACAUUGAUUGUGUAAAUACCUCAAUACAUAUACUGUAAUAUACUAGCUUAUGAAGAGAUAGAAAGUUCCUUUAAUAAAAAGGUAAGUCAGAGGAACAUCAAUCAUGUUCUCUGUUCAUUACCAUUAAGGCCAUCACUAGAGUGGAGCCAAAACUGACAUCUAUUCCCUGCAGUAGGGCUUUUAGAUGUCUAUGCAGAAAGUGCUGGCAACCCUAUUUUUUGUCAGGAUUAUUAUUAUCACUUUUCAUGCUUUAUAAUGUAAUCUAAAGACUAAACUGUAAAGCGUAGAAACUUAGAAACAUAAAACUUUGGAAUUAAGGCCAACUGCUUUACAAGGAAUACAAAUUGCACAAAUUGGAAUGUUGUAGCGCUGUACAGCAAAUGAAGAAAUAAACAAACCCUGAGUUUCUUGGUUAUACUUCAUGAACUGUUUUUGAAAUAAGGUCUAUCAAUGACAAAUAAUGAAAUGGGCAGGGCUUCUGUAAAUAAGAAAACAUGCGUGAAAAAAUAUUCAUUAAUAAUAAAACUUUCUAUAUCGGUAAUCUCUGCUGGAGUGUAAAACUGUCUAUAAGAAAAUCCUUCUUCAUUGAAUAAAAUAAAGAAAUAAAUAAAAAUUAAGAAGUUGAAAUAUACAUUAAGACCUAAUUUCAGAGAAUAUAUUAUGAAAUUAGCAUGUCUUUUUUAAUUGGCAGAUGUUUAUAAAUAAUUGUAUUUCCCUUUUUCCAACAUUAGUCUUACAAGUUUAACAAAUCUUGAGUAAACAGUAAAACUUUUAUUAAUAUCAAUGUAAAAAGAAUGCAAAAAUGCUAUUAAAUUACCCACACCGUAGAUGCUAAAAAAUAUAUCAAUUUGUAAAGACAAUACAUGCAACUGUACCGUAAAAUAGUUUGAAAAGGUUACAGUAAAAACCUGUUAACUAAGUUACAUAACACUAGGUGUAGGCAAGGCAGACAUAUGAGAAUUUUACUGUAAACUGUCAAAUUAAUUAUUUUUCAGGAUUAAUAAAGUAAAACGAAAUAAAUAACCACAUUUACAUUUAAAUUAUACUAAAAAUAUGCAUUACAUGUUUGAAAAGAAUGAACAAUCAAGGGAAUUCCCAGAAUCCCUGCUCAAAAUGUCAUGUUUAUAUUUCAUUCUCGUUUAACCUGUUUUGUUUUAACAAUGAUGCCCACAUACUUUAACAAUUUAUGUUAUUCUGUAAAUGCUUUUAAUACAUAUUGUAGUGUCGUGUGUGUUACUCCGGCGUAAUUUCGUGUAAGACUAAUAACGUUACCUGUUUCCAUGUUUUAUGAUUAUCAUUAUCACAUCAAAGUCAUUAUUUGGCCUUACAUUGUCUCGUCCUUGUUAUUAUCAUUACAUUUUCCAGUAGAAAACAGAUUUAUUAGUUAGAUAAAUUAACGUUACAUCUUUUUAUCAUAUUGUAAAAUAGACAAAGUCAAACAAAAAUGCCAUUCCCUACUGCUUGCAACAUCGUCACUGCAUUUUAUACGCUAAACUUCUGCCAGUUUCUUAUAGUAAAUUGAAGCAAACAUUUUUUUUCCAUUGUAGUUUUCUUACCGUGUGUGAAAUGACAGCACGUUCUGGCUCAUGCUCUCAACUGCGGCUCCCAAUCCCACAUAAAAUUAGUCCCAUCAGGUUCCUUCUUCAUGAAAGGAUCCGAGAAGCAAGGAUGAUGCAUAAAACUCUGAGUUACAUCUGGUUUAGGAAACUCCUUGUGUGAUAAUACUCCGUGAAAAGCGCGAGGGUCAGCGCGGCGCGUCUUGGCUCAAUCGCCUCAGAAGCCUGAAGUUUCUACUGGACGCGUGACGAGCUCUGUGUCGCGAGGAGAACUCCUCUUCGCGCGCUCUCUCUCUCUCUCUCUCUCUCUCUCUCUCUCUCUCUCUCUCUCUCUCUCUCAUCAGAACAGACGCGCAUCGUCCACAGCAGCGCAGUUUAUUUCUUCUGGAAGAAAGAGAGAUGUAGAGGACAGGGAUUCCCCCAGGAACAGGUC
ensembl:lncRNA